rnacentral:rRNA from 1 species
UACAGAGGUGGCAAGCGUUGUUCGGAAUUACUGGGCGUAAAGCGUGCGCAGGCGGUGAUGUAAGACAGGUGUGAAGUCCCCGGGCUUAACCUGGGAACUGCAUUUGUGACUGCAUCGCUGGAGUGCGGCAGAGGGGGAUGGAAUUCCGCGUGUAGCAGUGAAAUGCGUAGAUAUGCGGAGGAACACCGAUGGCGAAGGCAAUCCCCUGGGCCUGCACUGACGCUCAUGCACGAAAGCGUGGGGAGCAAACAGG